rnacentral:rRNA from 1 species
UAAUUGAAGAGUUUGAUCAUGGCUCAGAUUGAACGCUGGCGGCAGGCCUAACACAUGCAAGUCGAGCGGUA